rnacentral:rRNA from 1 species
GAGUUUGAUCAUGGCUCAGGACGAACGCUGGCGGCGUGCCUAAUACAUGCAAGUCAAACGAAACUUUCUUACACCGAAUGCUUGCAUUCACCGUAAGAAGUUGAGUGGCGGACGGGUGAGUAACACGUGGGUAACCUGCCUAAAAGAAGGGGAUAACACUUGGAAACAGGUGCUAAUACCGUAUAUCUCUAAGGAUCGCAUGAUCCUUAGAUGAAAGAUGGUUU